CUCUCGCUGUCUCUGGAGAAGUUUCCUCCCUGGAGUAUGAUUUUCCGAGAGAGGAGCAUGCACCACACAGAGGUCAAUACAAGUUUUUCCUCCUCAAAAUAAUGUAUGGGUCCUCGAAUUCAAUUCGUCACGAGAUGGUCAACAUUUGGUACGUGGACCGCGACCUGGUCCCCAAGAGAGAACAAUCAGAGCGCUCAAGGUAUUCGGCCACAGUCCUGAAAAAAUACGGUUUCGAGCUGUCCAGACCCCUGGCAAGGGACAGAUGGCGAGAGGACAGACAUGCAAGGUGGACGAAGCACUACCCCAGGCCCAGCCCCCAGCGGUGUGUGGUGCCCGGAGCGCCCCAUUUCAGCCCGAGACCCCCACCUCCUGUCGCCGAGUCAUCCCCAGCGACCCCGCCCGACUGGGCUGAAAUGAAGCUUUAUUUUAGCCCUUGUCGCCGCGAUCUGUAUUCACGUCUUUCUCCGCAAUUAGUAGAUGCUCAGUUAUUAUUUGUGAAAUUAAAUUCAGAGCACUCUGAGCAGCGCCAUUAGCGCAAAUUGAAUUUAGAUGUAAUAUACCCAAGGCAGACCUCAGAGCCCAGCACUGUGAAGUGACAACUGAGAUUACCUAAUACACCGCCGAGAAUUAAAUUGCCGUCAGCCUCUUGCCUGCAUUUUCUGCGUUGUCUAUAGAGGCCCAGAGCUGUCAUCCCAGCACUCGGGAGGCUGAGGCAGGAGGAUUGCCAUGAGCUCGAGGCCAGCCUGGGCUACGCAGGGAGACCCUGGCUCAAAAAAUAAGUAAAAUAAAUGACACAGAGGACCUAGAGCAUCCUUUCCACACCGCGCUUUUCACUCCGCGUCUCUCUCUGCCUCUGUGGCAUCUGUCGCCAGAGCGCCUUGACAUAUGCUUGCACGCUGGUAGAGUUGGCACCCUUCAGGCUUCUGCCACUUCGCUUUGUUUGGGGCUCAGCGGACGUCACGGGGCCCGCGGAGCCCACGCUUCCGAACCGAGCCGGCGUCACGUGGAGCCGCACCCCCUACCCCCUGCGGUCCCCCCUGGGCGGCUUCCGGUCCAGCCCUCGUUUGUGCAAAGACCUUGAGCCGAGAUUGUCGGUGGGAAUCCACUCUCCCGUUACCCGCCCUGCUCCCUUAUGUGUUCGCUCGGCUCACAGAAUGUUCUUCCUCUGUUUUCCCACUGAGAUGAGAUAUUUGGAAAUCAAGUGGAGCAUUUAAUGUAAUAAGUGGCCAGCAAUCUUUAGAGGUUAAUUUGUUUAAAACCUACGUAAGGUUGGGGUCCCCUAUGCCCCGUUAGGAGCAAGGACCAUUAUAAUCUAUUACUGUUUAAAGUUGACCCAGCAC
rnacentral:lncRNA from 1 species